GUUUUUUAGUUGAUGGAUCAUGGCAGCCUCUGCUCCUAACAUGCGCUCAAUGCUCGUUCACAUUUGAGAAUACUGCUGCUGGUUCACUGGUUGUCACUGCCUCAUUCACCGGGAGCUGUUGGGAAACUACGGAUACGGCAAGGCAACUCCCUUUGUUGUACGGUGGCCGGGAAGUGACUCUUUCCUGUCCUCUGACACCACCAACUGUAGCCCCAACCAUGGCCCCAACCACACCUGCCCAUGACCCAACUGACAUGCAACAGAUGUUUGACCCUUUCCGUUUUGGAAAGCCAUGGUGGUAUCCUGGGGCACCUGCUACCCUGCCUCCCACUGUGCCACCUACGACUGCCACUGCCACAUUUUCAAUAUCCUUUCCAGCAACCCAUGUUCCCUCCCAAGUAUCCCAUGCCAAUAUUUGAUCCCUUUUACUCUAAAGGUGACCCAGCUGCUCCCCCAGCACCGCAACCACCAUAUCCCUGGUACCCAAAGUUCCCUCCUUAUAAAAAUGGCUUCCACAGCCGAGUUGAAGUGACCACUCCUGCAACAACUGUACCUGCCCCAUACCAGUCUAAGCACCAGUAUCCAGGUUAUCCAAUGUACCCACCGUACUAUGGCCAACCGGUCAAGUCUUUUGUGGCUCCAACUGCAAGAUACCCUUUAGUGCCCCAAUAUCUUAAGGGUCCAAUCUCUGGUGCCCGCAGCCCUAGAUCUCUGUCUUCCCCUGCACUGUUAUCCUCAGUCUACAGUUCUCGUAGAUGACCACUUGACUGGGCAGAUGAGUGGACUCUGAAGUGGUAUUUCUCUUGACACCAGAACAAAUGGUGUCAGUUUGGAAGAUUGCUAAUAAAGCUGUGACUUCA